rnacentral:rRNA from 1 species
UACGUAGGGGGCAAGCGUUGUCCGGAAUCAUUGGGCGUAAAGCGCGCGUAGGCGGCCCUGUAAGUCCGUUGUGAAAGUCGAAGGCUCAACCUUCGAAAGCCGAUGGAUACUGCAGGGCUAGAGUCCGGAAGAGGCGAGUGGAAUUCCUGGUGUAGCGGUGGAAUGCACAGAUAUCAGGAGGAACACCAAUAGCGAAGGCAGCUCGCUGGGACGGUACUGACGCUAAGGCGCGAAAGCGUGGGGAGCGAACAGG